rnacentral:lncRNA from 1 species
GGCGGUGCUCCUACUUACAGGAGGCUUAUACACCGAAGAACCCGAGCGCCAUCUGUCGUCAUAAUGAUCGUUAGCAUAAUACAACGAUGACAUUUAACACUUCGACAUUUCACACAUCGACAAUUCACGAAUCGACAAGUCACAUGUUACAAGUUACAAAACAUCAAUAUACAAAAAGACAAUUUACCAAUAAAGAAUUUUGAAAUCUAC